rnacentral:snRNA from 1 species
UUUACUAUAUGAUGUUUGUUGU